CUGAGCAGUGGCGCCCAGUUCGCUGAAGGGACUGCCGCCGCUACAGCGCCAGGCGAUUUCCAUCGAGAGCACGGUGCUUGGCAGGAUUCUUUGGUCGAAAUGGUGCUGCUUAAGAGCAACGAUUUCCGCUGGAAUUUCUCAACGAAAAUGUGUCCGGGGUCAUAGCAUUUGCUCGCUGGGGUCUAUCCAACUAAUAUUCUUCCAGCGACGUGAAUGGGACUAGUGUCGAACGAUUAGCAUCGAAAUAUGCAGGUAGAUAUCUUGGUCUUCACUUGAUAUCUCACAGGGCGUCCUAAACAAGCCAAGUUGUGUCAAUUCCUACGAUUUCCUGAAAUUCCUGCGAACUUUCCAGUUAUAGAUGCGAAGACUGGGAAGCUGUCCAUAUACCCAACCACAAGUUCAAGACAAGCGUUGUCCGCAAUUUAGAAAACUCGCACAAUUAUUUGGAUGCGAGCAAGAUCAACCUCAUCGUCGCAGACAUGAGAAAAGUUCUUGCCUAUCAUCCAUAAGUGGAGCACGGACGAUUGCAUCGAGGAAAUUAUUCUUCUUGCUCGAAGUCCACAAUGCCCGACUUGCCACUCCUAUUCGCUCUGUAUACAACGAAGCAGAAACUCGCCAGGCGAACUUGUCCAACAAAGACGGCAGGCUGUUGCUCCUCGGAGUCUGGAAAUGUUUCGAUUCCAUGGGAGUUGAUGUUAAAGACAUGAGCUUCCUAUGGAAAAACCUCUAGCAAAGAUCUGGCAGUUUUUCUUUUCUGAA